CUAAAGUGAAAAGUGAAAGUGAAGUCGCUCAGUCGUGUCUGACUCUUUGCGACCCCAUGGACUGUAGCCCACCAGGCUCCUCCAUCCAUGGGAUUCUCCUGGCAAGAAUACUGGAACGGGUUGUCAUUUCCUUCUCCCGAAAAGAUACUUAGUAUGUGUUUCCUUGUACUAGGCACUCAGAAAGCUACAAAGAAAAACAAAAUAUGAUUCCUGGAACCCAAGAAAACCACUGCCAGUAGAAGAGAUAGAUACCAAACUUGUAAUUACAAGAGGCUUUUUUUAAAAGUGCUGCGAUGGGAACCUUUCAGAGAGAGUGCAUGACUCAUUGAUCUCAGUGAAAAAUGAGGAAACAAAAGACUCAAUAUAGGUCAGGCAAGUUCCCUUGGAUAACCUUGGUGAAUGGCCCUGCUGAGACUCAAACAAGGCCUUUGACUACACUUCACUUCCUGUGCUUUCUGAAUGUUUGUUCUACGGUCAAAGGAGUUAAUCAGAGUGGUAAGAAGAAGCAACACCAGCAUCAGCAGCUAACAUUUAUUGACCACUUACUUGGUGCCAGUUCUAAGCGCCUUAUAUAUUUAAUCGCUUCUCACAGUAUCCUGAAGAGUGCAACCUUGGCUAGCAAAGGACUGGUUUACUGGGAUCUCAUUUACUACUGGGUCCUGGAUGCCUGGCAGAACGAUCUGAGAGGACAAGUCUGGAGCUGUUGGUGGCCCCUGUACCUCCAUGUGAUGUUUGAGAAGGAAUGAAGUUGGCAUGAAGCAGAGCAGAGCUAAGACCACUGAGCCUUGAUCACAUGGUUGGACCUGGAGCAAGUUGGUCCCAAAACUGGUUGCACCCAAGAUUUUUCAGAUAUGAGGCAAUAAAUUUCCUUUUUUGCUUAAUAUGGUCUUCUCUGGUAGCUCGGGCAUAAAGAAUCUACCUGCAAUUCAGGAGACCCCGGUUCAAUCCCAG
ensembl:lncRNA